AUAGCGUAUAUUAAAGUUGUUGCAGUUAAAAAGCUCGUAGUUGGAUUUCUGGGAGGGUGCCAAUGUCCGCUCGUUCGCGUGUGCAGCGGCGCCCUUCCAUCCUUCUGUUAACGUUUCUUGGUAUUCAGUUACUGGUUUCGGGCUCAGAUAUUUUACCUUGAGAAAAUUAGAGUGUUCAAAGCAGGCCUAUGCCCGAAUACAUUAGCAUGGAAUAAUAAAAUAGGACGUGCGGUUCUAUUUUGUUGGUUUCUAGAGUCGCCGUAAUGAUUAAUAGGGAUAGUUGGGGGCAUUAGUAUUCAGUUGCUAGAGGUGAAAUUCUUGGAUUUACUGAAGACUAACUAUUG
rnacentral:rRNA from 1 species